UACGGGGGGGGCAAGCGUUGUUCGGAAUUACUGGGCGUAAAGGGCGCGUAGGCGGCCUUCUAAGUCGGACGUGAAAUCCCUCGGCUUAACCCAGGAACUGCGUCCGAUACUGGAAGGCUUGAAUCCGGGAGAGGGAUGCGGAAUUCCAGGUGUAGCGGUGAAAUGCGUAGAUAUCUGGAGGAACACCGGUGGCGAAGGCGGCAUCCUGGACCGGUAUUGACGCUGAGGCGCGAAAGCCAGGGGAGCAAACGGG
rnacentral:rRNA from 1 species